UGGCAGAGCCGGGACUAGGACCCAGGUCCUUUCGAAUCCCAGGCCCGGGCUCUAUCCACUAGGCCACAGAGCUUCUCUGCUCCAGAGCAGCGGCGGGUUGAGGGGGCAGCCCCGGAGAGUGGACAAUGCCACCUGGCAAUCGUCUGGCAACCGAGGCCCUGGGCUGAGCUGGGGAGACCCCAGUGUUGACUCCUCUGUCUCCCAUAGAUGCCCGCUUGGCCGUGGGUGGCUGGCCCCUGUUUGGGCCCCGUUAGACAUUAUUCCUAGGAGAAAAUAUUCCAAGAAGAAGCCAGUUUUCCCUUCUCGCUGGUCUCUCCCGUUUGCACCUGGCUGUGUCUGUCCCAGGGGGAGUCUGACCGUGUCCCAGACUUGGUUGACAAGACCCCGAUGACCCCUCCCUGCCGUUCCCGGCUCCGGGCCGUCCCCGAGGAUGCACAGACCUUUACUCCCCGAGGACGCGCGCAAGACCAGAUGAGGUGACUGAGGCCCAGAGAAGAGAAGUGAUCUAUCUGCUCAACGUCACAGAGCGGCCAUACGGCAGAACCGGGAUUAGAACCCAGGUCCUUGCGAUUCCCAGGCCGGUGCUCUAUCCACGGAGCCACGCUGCUUCCCCUUCACCUUCCACUGACCCGCAGGACCCGAAUUCCAGCUGGUUUUCUCCACCUCCCAGAUAGCAUCUCCGAGUCAGAUGAGGGAACUGAGGCCCAGAGAAGUGAAGUGACUCGCCC